AUUGAACGCUGGCGGCAGGCUUAACACAUGCAAGUCGAGCGGGGACUUCGGUCCUAGCGGCGAACGGGUGAGGAAUGCUUGGGAAUCUGCCCAGUAGUGGGGGAUAACGUUUCGAAAGGAACGCUAAUACCGCAUACGUCCUACGGGAGAAAGGCGGGGAUCUUCGGACCUCUCGCCAUUGGAUGAGCCCAAGUCGGAUUAGCAAGUUGGUGAGGUAAAGGCUCACCAAGGCGACGAUCCGUAGCUGGUCUGAGAGGAUGAUCAGCCACACUGGAACUGAGACACGGUCCAGACUCGUACGGGAGGCAGCAGUGGGGAAUAUUGGACAAUGGGCGAAAGCCUGAUCCAGCCAUGCCGCGUGUGUGAAGAAGGCCUUCGGGUUGUAAAGCACUUUAAGCGAGGAGGAAUGGCUCUUGGUUAAUAACCUUGAGCAGUGACGUUACUCGCAGAAUAAGCACCGGCUAACUCUGUGCCAGCCGCCGCAGUAACAC
rnacentral:rRNA from 1 species